rnacentral:rRNA from 1 species
AUUGAACGCUAGCGGCAGGCCUAACACAUGCAAGUCGAACGAGUGGCGGACGGGUGAGUAAUGUCUGGGAACCUGCCCGAUGGCGGGGGAUAACUCCUGGAAAGGUUGGCUAAUACCGCAUACUUUUGGAGGGGCCGAUAUUGGAUUAGCUAGUUGGGGGGGUAAGGGCUCACCAAGGCAACGAUCCGUCGCUGGUUUGAGAGGAUGACCAGCCACACUGGAACUGAGACACGGUCCAGACUCCUACGGGAGGCAGCAGGGGGGAAUAUUGCACAAUGGGCGCAAGCCUGAUGCAGCCAGGCCGCGUGUAUGAAGAAGGCCUUCGGGUUGUAAAGUACUUUCAGCGGAGAGGCGUUACCCGCAGAAGAAGCACCGGCUAACUCCGUGCCAGCAGCCGCGGUAAUUC